AUGCGCACUGAUUGUCCGGCCUCAUGUCCUCCCCUAGCGUCUGAGGGAAUGGUAUCGUCUGGUAGAACCUGUACUAGACGGAGAGCUCGAGCGCUGCUCGUGAGAGGACAGCGCUCGUCAGCGGGAAUGGCGGAGACCGUUUGCUCGCUCUUCGACUACCGGGAGCCGCCGACGCUGGACAGCAACGGAGAGAGCAGCAAACCGCCACCGCCGCGAGGACGUGGCUGUGGAAGGAAAAGGAAAGGGACACCAGUAAAAGUGUGUGACAGAGUUUUUGCUACAGAGGAUGAGGAGGAGAGCAUGUCUGAGAACAGCUAUGGACCAGAAAAAGGUGAUGGUCAUGAGGACAAACACAGAGUGCCUGCUGCUGAUGGAUCAUACUAUGAAACUCAAUCUGCUCAGCUCUGCAGUGUAAGUGAGGAGGGCUCUAGCAGAGGGAGGGGGGCCGUCUCAUACCCCCCACCACCAAACUGCCGCAUUCGUGAAGUGCACUGUGGAAAUCAAGUGCGACUAACUGUCAUAGCGAUCCGUGACAUUGCUAAGGGGGAGGAGAUCACUGUGGAUUACAGUUUGACCGAGUGGGGAGAAAACGCUAUGGGUUUCCAUGGCGCUGUAUCUCCUAGUAGCUUUGAUUGCAGCUCAGACCAUGAAAGAAACAUUAAGAAGGAGGAAGAGUCUGGCCCAGUUCCACUUUCUGCAUCAGAAUACCUCACACCUUCCUGGUCUCUCUCUCCUUCCUCCUCUCCUCUGUCUCACUCUGAGCCCAGUGAUUCAGACCUUGACUCGGAUGAUGCCAAUGGAGAGACACGCAUGCGAAUACCUCACCGCCGCAAAAGGCACAAAGCCCUGUCUGCACAUGCUAAGAGAAAAGCACUUCAACGACCCCCCAGCCAUCCUCCCACUUUUCCACACUCCCUCCUGUCCUCCUCACUGCAGCCUGCUGCUCCCUCCAGUCCUGUGUUUAAGUGCCCGCCGUCUGCAGGAGUUCCUGCUAAUAGUGUCAAUGUGUCAGUGGGUCGUGGGCAGAGCACCAUGGCACAGAAACAGCGCUGUGUUUACUGUGGUCGUCACUUCCGAUCUCUCCCACGCCAUCUGGAUAAACACCACGCCCACCAGCCGGACGUGUGCUCUGCAAUGGUACAAGCAUGCACCUCUGGUGACCCUCCUUGUGUAAAGUCACCUCUUCCAUCAUCGAGCAAGCAGUCCCAAUGCCUUCAAGUGACUCCUGUUCCAGGUGUGGUGGUGGGAACACCACAGUCACCACCCUCUACUUCUUUGUCUCCGGUCAGAAGGAGCCCUGCCCUCUCUAGCCCUAUUUGCAAAAGUCCUACCCCAGCCCCGACAACUCCGCCCAGAAGAGGAGGUGUUCCAGUGUCUGUCUUAAAGAGGAGCCCACCUAUUCCUGCUACUCCUCCCAGAAAAGGAGGACGAAAAACGAAAAAGGAUAAAGAGGAGGUGGACAUUUUUGAGAAGACAAAAGAAGAGGAAUUGCCCACUCCAGUGUUUUUAGAUCAUGUUAAGGAGUCAAAACCUUCGAAAGAAGAAAGAGAGGACAAUGGAGGGAGAGAAGAAGAAAGCGGCGCAGAGGAUAAGACCGACCUAUCAAGUUCGCGUCGUCUCCACAUGCUCCCACUUCUUUCCUCCCUUUCCUCCCUGGUGUUGUACCUGCGGCGGCUGCAGCACUCUGCCUUUAUUUCUCUCUCCCGCUCACCACAGUCGGCCGAGGCAUGGCGUCUCCUCUGUCACUCCAGUCUGGCCCUACUCAUCCUUUACAAUCGCCGGCGUGAAUGUGAAGUCUCCAAGCUCACCAUCUCCGAGUACCAGGCCCGCAUCACAUCCCAGUGCCCCAUUCCUGUGCAAUCUGGUGCCCCACCAACUCUUACCCCACUGGAGGCCUCGCUCUCACCCUUCGAGCGGAUGGUCCUCCCCCAUCUCCCUCGCGUUGGAGUCCAAGGGAAACGUGGCCGUGUACAGCCACUCAUCCUCCCACCACACUCUGAAGCCUGUAUGGAGAUGCUUUUGCAGACUCGUGCCGGUGUGGGAAUUGAUCCACAGAACACCUAUGUGUUUGCCAGGCCAUAUCAUUCGCCUGCCACUCCCCUACGAGGGACAGACUUACUUCGUAGUUUGGCUCGGUCCAGUGGUACUCAGCACCCACAGGCACUGACACAGACACGCGUUCGCAGGCAGGUGGCGAUACUUACUCAGCUGCUGUUGUUAAGUGAGGGUGAGGAGGAAGGGCAGCACGGGUCUGCCAUACAGCGAUUGGAAAGUUUCUUGCAGAAGGAGUAUCACGUGACCCAAAGCUGUGCAACCAUCGGCCAGGACCCUGGGCUGAUGGGUCUGAUUGGUCGGGUGGUACUAUGCGGAGAGAGAGAUGGCGUCUUAUUCCGAGGAAUGAGUUUACACCACAUCUGUCUGGAGUUAGAUGUGUUGUCAGGAAACUCUGCCGAUUCGUUGUCAGAGGAGUCAGAUUCUGAGCAGAGUAAAGAGAAACCUGAAGCACCAUCUCCUGCAACCAGCAUUAUGAUGAAGAAAACCAUAAGCAACAACAAAUCUCCCCGGCCCAAGAAGAUGACCGGCAGCUCCCUGCUCUCAAAGGGACGCAAAAAGGCCUCAGGACAGCCCAAGCCUGGUAAACGUGGUGUGCUGAAGCGGCCUUGGUCUGAGGCAGAGCGGGCAGCUGUUGAGUCCCACCUGGUGCAAAACAUUAUGGAGCUGCGUGUGCCAGCUAAAGCGGACUGUGAACGCUGCCUGGAGCUCUGCCCCCUGCUGGUCACUAACCACCGGGACUGGAGGGCAGUGAAAUUCUACUGCCACAACCGUAUACAGCUGCUCAAGAAAACCCAGCAGAGACAGGGUCCACCCGCCCUGUCCGUCUGCUGAGGCUGUGAAUAAGCGCAUCCAAUAACAGCAGAUGUGUAAGGGAGGGAAUGUGAGGAG
ensembl:lncRNA